UACAGAGGGUGCUAGCGUUGUUCGGAAUCAUUGGGCGUAAAGGGCGUGUAGGCGGUUUGUUAAGUCAUGUGUGAAAUCCCUCGGCUCAACCGGGGAACGACGCAUGAAACUGGCAAGCUAGAGUACCAAAGAGGGGGGUGGGAAUUCCCGGUGUAGCGGUGAAAUGCGUAGAAUAUCGGGAGGAACACCUGUGGCGAAGGCGCCCC
rnacentral:rRNA from 1 species